rnacentral:sRNA from 1 species
CGUCUUCGAUCUGUUGCGGGCAGAUGAAGUGGAUAUGGCUGUCGAAACCACCCGCCGUCAGGAUGCGGCCCUCACCCGCGAUCACUUCGGUUCCGGGGCCGACAAUGAUGUUCACGCCCGGCUGUAUGUCCGGGUUCCCGGCCUUGCCGAUGGCCGCGAUACGCCCCUCCUUCAAGCCCACGUCGGCCUUGUAGAUGCCGGUGUAAUCCACGAUCAGCGCAUUGGUGAUCACGGUAUCGACCGCGCCGGCUGCACGCGUGGCCUGCGAUUGGCCCAUGCCAUCACG